rnacentral:rRNA from 1 species
AUACGGAGGGUGCAAGCGUUACUCGGAAUCACUGGGCGUAAAGCGCGCGCAGGCGGUCUUUUAAGUUGGAUGUGAAAGCCUACGGCUCAACCGUAGAACUGCAUCCAAAACUAUUAGACUAGAGUGUGGGAGAGGAAGAUGGAAUUAGUUGUGUAGGGGUAAAAUCCGUAGAGAUAACUAGGGAUACCAAAAGCGAAGGCAAUCUUCUGGAACACUACUGACGCUGAGGCGCGAAAGCGUGGGGAGCAAACAGGAUUAGAAACCCCAGUAGUCC